rnacentral:rRNA from 1 species
GACGGAGGAUGCAAGCGUUAUCCGGAAUGAUUGGGCGUAAAGCGUCCGCAGGUGGCAGUUCAAGUCUGCUGUCAAAGCCCGGGGCUUAACUUCGGAAAGGCAGUGGAAACUGAACAGCUAGAGUAUGGUAGGGGCAGAGGGAAUUCCUGGUGUAGCGGUGAAAUGCGUAGAUAUCAGGAAGAACAUCGGUGGCGAAGGCGCUCUGCUGGACCAUAACUGACACUCAGGGACGAAAGCUAGGGGAGCGAAUGGG